CGGUAAUUCCAGCUCCAAUAGCGUAUAUUAAAGUUGCUGCAGUUAAAAAGCUCGUAGUUGAAUUUCGGGACCAUCAUGUCGGUCGUGCCUCGGUACGUACUGGCAUUGUUGGUUUCUACCUUCUGACGAACCAUGAUGUCAUUUAUUUGGUGUCGUGGGAAAUCAGGACUGUUACUUUGAAAAAAUUAGAGUGUUUAAAGCAGGCUCACGCUUGAAUACAUUAGCAUGGAAUAAUGAAAUAGGACGUUUGAUUCUAUUUUGUUGGUUUCUAGGAUCGACGUAAUGAUUAAUAGGGAUAGUUGGGGGCAUUAGUAUUCAAUUGUCAGAGGUGAAAUUCUUGGAUUUAUUGAAGACUAACUACUGCGAAAGCAUUUGCCAAGGAUGUUUUCAUUAAUCAAGAACGAAAGUUAGGGGAUCGAAGACGAUCAGAUACCGUCGUAGUCUUAACCAUAAACUAUGCCGACUAGGGACCGGAUGAUGUUAAUUUUUUAA
rnacentral:rRNA from 1 species